UACGUAGGGUGCGAGCGUUGUCCGGAAUUAUUGGGCGCAAAGGGCUCGUAGGCGGUUUGUCACGUCGGGAGUGAAAACUCGGGGCUCAACCCCGAGCCUGCUUCCGAUACGGGCAGACUAGAGGUAUGCAGGGGAGAAUGGAAUUCCUGGUGUAGCGGUGAAAUGCGCAGAUAUCAGGAGGAACACCGGUGGCGAAGGCGGUUCUCUGGGCAUUACCUGACGCUGAGGAGCGAAAGUGUGGGGAGCGAACAGG
rnacentral:rRNA from 1 species